rnacentral:rRNA from 1 species
GUGCGUAACGCGUAUACAAUCUGCCUUUCACUGGGGGAUAGCCCGAAGAAAUUUGGAUUAAUACCCCAUAGUAUAUAGGGACGGCAUCGUUUUUAUAUUAAAGCUACGGUGGUGAAAGAUGAGUAUGCGUUCUAUUAGCUAGUUGGAGAGGUAACGGCUCCCCAAGGCGAUGAUAGAUAGGGGUUCUGAGAGGGAUGUCCCCCACACUGGUACUGAGAUACGGACCAGACUCCUACGGGAGGCAGCAGUGAGGAAUAUUGGACAAUGGUCSGAAGACUGAUCCAGCCAUGCCGCGUGCAGGAUGAAGGUCUUAUGGAUUGUDARCUGCU